GAAGUUGCGCAGACGGUCGCUGGAGCAUUCCGGGGCUCUCCCCCGGUUGCUUUGGAGGAAAGUCCGAACACCACAGGGCAGGGUGCUUCAUAACAUGAAGUCAUGGUGACAUGAAGGAAAGUGCCACAGAAAAGAUACCGCCCGGAAGCGCGUCUUUCGGGUAAGGGUGAAAAGGUGCGGUAAGAGCGCACCAGUUCUCCGGGUGACCGGAGAAGCUUGGUAAACCCCACCCGGUGCAAGACCAAAUAGGGGGACGCUUGAGGGUGGCCCGCCCGAGUCCCCGGGUAGGUCGCUGGAGGUGCCGGGCGACCGGCAUCGUAAGAUGAAUGACCGUUACCUGGCACGGGGUAACCUGUGCCAGGGAUACAGAAUUCGGCUUAUGCGCGGCUUUGACC
rnacentral:RNase_P_RNA from 1 species